rnacentral:lncRNA from 1 species
AGAUUAGAGAGAGGAAAAAAUAUGAUGCGUUGUCAAGUCACAUGCACACCCCCUGGACCAAUCACUGGAGACUACAGCAAUGGGACACACUGAUUGGCUAGUUUGGACCACGUGGCUACAGGCCACUGGCGACCCUAUAAAGAAGAGCGUUUACCCCACACAGAUCACCAGAGUUAGGCAAGCAGAAAAGAUGAAAUGGGAAGAGGAGGAAGCAAAUAUUUACCAACACCUACUCUUCAAGCAGCGAGCGCCUAUAAAUUUCUGCACCUGAAGCUUUGUGACCUGACCCUGAUAGUUUGCCCAUAUUUUAACUGGUAAAAGCCUUGAAGUCCUACACACAGAUCAAUCUUUGAGGGACUUACAGGAUGAGAAGACCCACCCUAAUUCUGGAUUGUUUGAAAUUGGAAGCGCUACCUUAAAUCCAGAUCUUUGGAGGUGAGAAGAUCAAUUGUAUAUCUGGGCACACCUUCUGGACAUGGAUGAAGCAAGGAAGUUCUGACUCUUUUCCUGCUUGGCCUCACUCUUGCUGGCUAGUUUAUUCCUUCACUGGCAUUAGAGCCUACAUCCCUAGGAUUCCUAUCAGGACACAGAUAUUGUUGGGCUAGCUGGACCCCAAGGAGUAGAAGCAGAAGACCCACCUAUCUGUAUGACAAGGUUUGACUCAGACAUCGUCGUUCCCUUAAGCUCAUCCGUGUCGGCACAGUGAACCUCGUGUCUACAAUGACCAUGUGACCGUCCUCUUAACAUGAUGCACUGGACUCCUCUGGUGGAGGCUGCCCCAGUCUCUGAAGUCUGGACUUAUCUGCCUGUUACUGCUGCUCUCAGCCCUAGAGAGAGACUGGAAUGAAAGCAUCUUCUUACUGUCUUCUGUGACCUAACCUAAGUCUCCCCAUCUUCAGACUGUCAAAUCCUGCAUCAAGGAGGACUGGGGGAGCACUGAUGGCUGCACAGCAGGUGUGAACUGCCCUGGAACAAGUUUUGAUGCCCUUGGAAGCAUCAGGAUAGUGCCUGUACAUUAAAACUAAAUGAACAUCACCCAUCUGAAGACGGUUUGCAAUAAAAAUCAUUUUUAUAGCCAUCAAGAGUUUGCCCUGGUGCUACCCUCCCACAUCCCCUGCCCCAACGCUCCAUUUGAAGUCUGACCACCUGGAA